rnacentral:ribozyme from 1 species
CAGGCCUUCUUUGAUGCCAAGAUGGGUGCCAACAACACGAGUAGUUUGCUUACGGAUGGGGGCAACAGAAAGAAGACCCGCUCCAAAUCUCUGCCCAAGUUUUGGAGGCGCAAGACCAGCAAGGGUGAAAGGUC